ACACGUGUUCAUUUUGAAAGCAUGUGAUGUCAAUGGUGGAAUAAUCUCAAUUUGUGUCUUGGAGUUAAUAUUGGAGCGACUGUAUAUUGGAUCAGUGUCAUAAAGAAUAUUGAAACCCCAGAGUCCGGUUAAGGCAGUCAACAACGUAAACUUUGUGGUUACACAAAACGCAAUCCAGGCAGCAACACCAAUCACAGCGGCAGGACUUCCGGAACAGAGUGAAAACGAGGUCGUCCUGGGGUGUGAAGAAUUCCAGCUGAAACUGGCGGUGUGGACCACAGAACCAUCGACAAAUACAACUGGUAUCUACGGAGAACAAAUGAUCAGAAGUUAUUUGUCUUUGCAGAUGACACUUUGAACUUUGAACCUUAUUAAACCCAGCCUAAACUAUUACUUGCAAUUGAGAAUAGUAAUGGCUUCCCAAACACCACAAAGUUAAAAACCUUGAAAAAUUACAUCGACCACUUAUCUUUUUAACCUUGACCUUCAUUUGUGUGAAGGUCAAAAUGGCAGUGAACCUGAGAACGGAUCUGAUCCUUCAUCAUGCAUGCAGUUUUGUUGCAUGACUUUUAUAUGCACGUACUCUAGCAUGGUUCAACACAUCGAACAAGGUGAUCAUAGAAAGUGAAGGGGAAACCAUGAUUGACCUUCAGCUGUAGCCUUGAACUUGAAAAAAUAAACUUAUACCUGUUUCAAAGUCUUAGACUGCGUCUGAUUUAUCGUACUGAAGUAGGAUGCUUUUUGGGCGCAAAAUAUUAACAUAUCGGUUCAGAGCUACUUUGAUGGAGAACCUUGAAGUAAACCAGUUAUAUUGAGGGAUUUUCUAAACGAAAAUUUAAAAUUUGGAAUAUGCUAAAAAGUCUUACAGGAAAUUGUGUGUGUUUGGGUUUUUUCUGUCGAACUUUUGAUUAUAAUAAAAAGUAUCUAAUGAUGCUUACAUUUAUUUAUCUGAAAAACAAACUCGAAGGUUUGAGGUCCGUUUUUCUUGUUAUGAUAAGAUAUCAAAGUCAAAAUCCCAUGUGCAUAUGAAAAAGUGGGUUCAUUUUGAAUUUCCUUUUUUUUAAUUUUAAAUAUUUUCAAGAGAAAUUUGUUUGAAUAUCGAUACAUGUU
rnacentral:misc_RNA from 1 species